UCUUCAUUUUCUUUAUCUCUCUGUGUUGAUAUCUGUGCAUUAUAUUAAUAGAAACCAGGUACUUCUCCAGGCUUCCAUGGCUGGACUCAUUAAGAAGACCCCUACCAAUCUGCCUGGCCAGAGAUUCUGGGGGCAUCUACCAACUCUUUCCUUCCCCAGGAACAAGCAGGCAUGUGUGGUUUUUGUCCGCUUCCUCUGUGCUGAGCCAGUGGGAGAAGCUAUGACAUCUGCCAGUCCACACCACUAUCUCCAUUCUCCCUGAGGAGGCUACACUGCCAGACCCAUCAGUUCCAAGACUGACAAGAUUACUGCCAGUGUUCUGGGAAACCCUGGAGAAGUUGGAGCAUUGGACAGGAUGCCAGGAAACUGACCUAUCCCAUCUCCUAGAACUCUUGGGAAGUGCAGAUUCUGUUUAUGCUUCUAGGGGCCACCUUCGGUCCUUGGCUCGAGACCCCGUCCUCACAUCACUGCAACCUCUCGCUUCCGUCGCUGUCACAUCUCCUGCUAGUCACUGUGAUCUCCUGCCUUCCCCUGUAAGGACCUCUGUGAUCACAUCGGGCCCACCUGGAUAACCUGGGAUACUCUCCCCAUCUCACGUCCUUGCCUUGAAUCACACUGCAAUGUCCCUUCUAUCAUAUAAGGUAACAAGUCCCAGGUUUGAAAGAUUAGGACAUACAAUUUCACUCUGAUUAAUUGCCUAGUAGCUGCAAUCUUAAAGUCCUACCUCCCCCGCCUCCUCCUCCAGCAUGUUCGCACCCACUCCUAGCCCAACAUAACCAAUUCCCUCCAGCAGCAACCCUUCCUGCUUCUGUGUCACAGGCUCCAAGCGAGGACUUUUUAGGGCUGAGUUACUUAGACCUCAGGAGAUCCUGACUCUCAGACACCGUUUCUCCCCAGUUCAAUAAAAUGUCAAACAUCGAACCAAAUACACAUAUUUAGAACAUAUUUUUCAUUUAUAGAAAACAUUUAAAGUAUAAAAGCCUAGAGAGCCAGUGAAAAUAGCUUGACGUGAAGGGUGAGGAGAAUACACAGGAGCUCACUGAAAUUUUCACUACACAACAGUGGCAGGGGGUUCACCACUAGGUGGAUUUCUUAGGGAAACAUUUCAUUCCCGAGCCUCUAAGAGUCCUGGCGCGGCUCCGGUGGAGGCGGGAGAUGGCAGUGGAGAUGGGCCCCUGGGCUCCUGGGAGGCACCACUGUCUGUGGCCCCAUCGGAGGUUGAUCUGAGGUUAAAAAGAAAAAAAGGCUGUGCCUGAUGCAGUCUCUCCAGACGUCAGACUCACCCUUCCUCAGGAAUAGAGAUUGCCUCUCCUUUCUUUGACCCCUGUCACCUACGACCCCAAGCCCCCUGGCAUUUGCUUCCCGUUUCCCCGAGGCUCAGUGAUAAGAUGUA